GACGAACGCUGGCGGCGUGCCUAACACAUGCAAGUCGAGCGGGGUUGAAGCGAGGGGUAACUCGAGUUUCUACCUAGCGGCGGACGGGUGAGUAACGCGUGGGCAACCUGCCUCAAGGACUGGGAUAACAGCUCGAAAGGGCUGCUAAUACCGGAUAAGCCUAUGGCCUCGCAUGGGGCCAUGAGCAAAGGGGAAACCCGCCUUGAGAUGGGCCCGCGUCCCAUCAGCUAGUUGGUGAGGUGAAGGCUCACCAAGGCGACGACGGGUAGCCGGCCUGAGAGGGUGACCGGCCACACUGGGACUGAGACACGGCCCAGACUCCUACGGGGGGCAGCAGUGGGGAAUCUUGCACAAUGGGCGAAAGCCUGAUGCAGCGACGCCGCGUGAGCGAAGAAGGCCUCGGUGUAAAGCUCUGUCUGGAGGGACGAAGGAAGUGACGGUACCGUCCGGAGGAAGCCACGGCUAACUACGUG
rnacentral:rRNA from 1 species